GACGUAGGGCGCGAGCGUUGUCCGGAUUUAUUGGGCGUAAAGAGCUCGUAGGCGGCUUGUUGCGUCGGCUGUGAAAUCCCAUGGCUCAACUGUGGGCUUGCAGCCGAUACGGGCGGGCUAGAGUUCGGUAGGGGAGACUGGAAUUCCUGGUGUAGCGGUGAAAUGCGCAGAUAUCAGGAGGAACACCGGUGGCGAAGGCGGGUCUCUGGAUCGUUGCUGACGCUGAUACGCGAAAGCGUGGGGAGCAAACAGG
rnacentral:rRNA from 1 species